GACCUGAUAGCACAAUGGUUAGCGCCUCUGUCCAUCUUAGUAGACUUGAAAUCUCCAACAGAGGAUCCCGUUCGAUUCGGGGUCGGGUCA